AGCCUUCGAGCUUCAUCCUGGUCAGUUUUGGGUGAGUAGGCCAACUAUAGUCCUAACGUUACACAUUUGAAUGAAAAUUAUUUGUAAGCCAUUUAACGCCUUUCAUAUUGCAAUCGGUACUUUGGGGGAACGAUUUUUUUUCCGCUUAAAUAAGUUGUAUUGAUUAGAGACAAAUGAUUUAACGUUAGAUAAUGUAUUUUUAUAGACGAUGAACUGAAAAUACACCUGCAACCUCUGAUAUUUUCUCAAUUUAACGCUGCAACCUCGCCAUGUUUGUUAGUAAUUCAUGUGUGCUUGUUUUGGCUCUGAGGAUUGUUUAUCUGUUAAAUGUAAUAGAUUUCUGCAAUCUGCCUUGCUUUUAUUUUUAUUAACAUGUGAGUUCUGUAAUUCUUGUCUUUUUGUUAUUUGCAGAAUUACACCUGAUCUUCCUGUUUCUGUCCUGACUAAGAGGAUCCAGUAGACUCGAUAGAAUUACACCUGAUCUUCCUGUUUCUGUCCUGACUAAGAGGAUCCAGUAGACUCGAUAGGAAACCGACAUUGAAGACCAUGUGACGGCAGGAAUGGAUGUGGGCAUUCUCAUAAUUCCUGAUGGAGAUGAUGCCCUUGACUACUACGUGGUGCUGGAGGAACAGAUUGCCCUGAGAGAUGCCAUAGACCUCCCUCAUGCUGCCGCUCUACUAGUCGGGCUGAUUUUUGCGCUUAAUAUUGAUUAUCCCAAAAAACUACGCUACACAUUUGAGGUCAUUCAAAAGAUUUUCAUUGACCUUGGAGGUGAUCAGUGUUCUGGUGCAUGGACUGAAAAAUAGACUACUUCGCAAAACUGUGUAGUGUCCUAACUGAAAGGUAUAUGAUGUGUGCCUUUUUGUUCAUGAUUUAGCCUGGUGAAUUUCUGGUUGUUUUAAAACGAUGAAUGUUCAAUUCUUGACGUGGUACUUUAUGCAGUGCUAAUAUAUGUAACUCAAUAUAAAAAUAUCUUGUUUGAUUUUUAGACACUUGUUUUCUGUUUAUACAGUGUUAUUGUUAAUGUACAUUAAGUCAAGUCACCUUUAUUUAUAUAGCGCUUUUAACAAUACAGAUUGUGUCAAAGCACUUAACAGUAUCAAAUUGGAGGAUAGAGUGUCAGUAAUGUAUAAUGAUAAGAUUAAACACUCAAUUUUCAGUUAAAGUCAUUUCAUUAUUGAGUUCAGAGAUGUCAUUGUGUAGCUCAGUUUAGUUUAAAUAGUAUCUGUGCAAUGAAAUCGGCAAUAAUCGCUAGAAAUUAAGUGUCCCCAACUGAGCAAGCCAGAGGCGUUACUUUAUGUUUGUACAGUAUUGUUCAUGCAGUGCAUUUG